UACGUAGGGGGCAAGCGUUGUCCGGAAUCAUUGGGCGUAAAGAGCGCGUAGGCGGCCCUGUAAGUCCGCUGUGAAAGUCAAGGGCUCAACCCUUGAAUGCCGGUGGAUACUGCAGGGCUAGAGUCCGGAAGAGGCGAGUGGAAUUCCUGGUGUAGCGGUGAAAUGCGCAGAUAUCAGGAGGAACACCGAUGGCGAAGGCAGACUC
rnacentral:rRNA from 1 species